CCCACGUCAGGUUUCCUGAUGUAACGAAUAUUUCAAUGCUUCUUGCUUCGGCAAGGUUGAUCCCGACGCUUGCGUGUCGGGAUUU
rfam:Kluyvera ascorbata ATCC 33433 GKAS.assembly.135, whole genome shotgun sequence.